rnacentral:rRNA from 1 species
UAAGACGAACCAAGCAAACGUUGUUCGGAAUCACUGGGCUUAAAGGGCGCGUAGGCGGUCUCUCAAGUCCGGGGUGAAAUCUUUCGGCUCAACCGGAAAAUUGCCUUGGAUACUGUGAGGCUCGAGUGAGGUAGGGGUAACGGGAACAUCCGGUGGAGCGGUGAAAUGCGUUGAUAUCGGAUGGAACGCCGGUGGCGAAAGCGCGUUACUGGACCUUUUCUGACGCUGAGUGCGCGAAAGCUAGGGUAGCGAACGGGAUUAGAUACCCCGGUAGUCCUAGCCCUAAACGAUGAGCACUAGAUUGUGAGAGUGACAUGCUCCCACAAUCGAAGCAAAAGUGUUAAGUGCUCCGCCUGGGGAGUAUGGUCGCAAGGCUG